UGGGGAAUAUUGGACAAUGGGCGAAAGCCUGAUCCAGCCAUGCCGCGUGUGUGAAGAAGGUCUUCGGAUUGUAAAGCACUUUAAGUUGGGAGGAAGGGUUGUAGAUUAAUACUCUGCAAUUUUGACGUUACCGACAGAAUAAGCACCGGCUAACUCUGUGCCAGCAGCCGCGGUAAUACAGAGGGCGCAAGCGUUAAUCGGAAUUACUGGGCGUAAAGCGCGCGUAGGUGGUUAGUUAAGUUGGAUGUGAAAUCCCCGGGCUCAACCUGGGAACUGCAUUCAAAACUGACUGACUAGAGUAUGGUAGAGGGUGGUGGAAUUUCCUGUGUAGCGGUGAAAUGCGUAGAUAUAGGAAGGAACACCAGUGGCGAAGGCGACCACCUGGACUGAUACUGACACUGAGGUGC
rnacentral:rRNA from 1 species